UAAUCCUAUGACUAACAUCCUCUUGAGAGGGUGUGAAUUAAAAAAAAUUUAUUUCCUGUUUAUCUAGUUUAGACCCAUGGAUUAGUGAUUGUUCUUAAUUAACUCCAUUACUUUUUUGUUCUUAAUUAACUCCAUCACUUUUUUUUUCUUUUAAUUCAGUGUUACUGAAUCCUUCCACCCCUCCUCUCCUAUCCUUGAGCUUUUAAGAGAAGCUAUUGGUCUUAAAUUUCUUCAAAUGUGGUCUCUUAUAUUUCUGAGAGUAACGGCUGUAGUUUUAGCAAAGAUUUUGCCUUGAUUCUUUCUUAUGCUUAGUGCACAAUUUUUUCCCAGUUGCUAUAUUAUUUUUAAGAUUUUCCUCUUAGUCUUCCCAUUCUGCAG
rnacentral:misc_RNA from 1 species